rnacentral:rRNA from 1 species
AUACGGAGGGUGCAAGCGUUAAUGGGAAUUACUGGGCGUAAAGCGUACGUAGGCGGUCCGUUAAGUUAGAUGUGAAAGCCCCGGGCUUAACCUGGGAACUGCAUUUAAAACUGGCGAACUAGAGUUGAGUAGAGGGGAGUGGAAUUUCAGGUGUAGCGGUGAAAUGCGUAGAGAUCUGAAGGAACACCAGUGGCGAAGGCGACUCCCUGGACUCGAACUGACGCUGAGGUACGAAAGCGUGGGUAGCAAACGGGAUUAGAUACCCCAGUAGUCC